GUGCUCGCUUUGGCAGCACAUAUAGUAAAAUUGGAACAAUACAGAGAAGAUUAGCAUGGCCCCGGUGCAAGGAUGACACGCAAAUUCGUGAAGUGUUCCAUAUUUUU